UCCGAUCCGCCUUCCGCAUCCGCCCCUUCCCCAGCCCGGCCUUCCACCGCAGCCAUGGCCGCCUUCCUGGAGCCGGAGAGCCGGGCGGCCGGGGCCGGGGCCGGGCUCUGUCUCGGCAACUUCGUCUUCGGCUGCGAGUUGACGGACAGCACCAGAUCCUACACCUUUAAGGUGGAUGAAGAUGACGACUCUGAGCACAUCCUGGCCCUGUCUAUGGUCUGCCUUACAGGUGGUGCAAAGGACGAAUGCAACGUGGUGGAAGUUGUGGGGCGUAACCGUCAGAACCAGGAGAUUGCUGUGCCGGUGGCCAAUCUGAAACUGUCGUGCCAGCCCGUGCUGAGCCUGGACAACUUCCAGCUCCAACCACCUGUGACCUUCCACCUGAAAUCCGGCUCCGGCCCCGUGCACCUCACCGGGCGGCACCAGAUCAGUAAGGAGCUGGGGGGGUGCUGGGCGCGGAAGAGGACGCGGCCCAGGAGGAAAUGCCGACCGGGGGCUCUGUCCAGGUGGCUGGUUCCUUCUGGAGAGGCCCGGGGGGGCGGAGAGAGGGAGGAAUCUGCUGCCUGCAGAGAGGUCAUUGCCCGAGUAGGGCUGCGUCUGCAGAGGAGGGUCUGAUGCCCGAGUGCUGUUAUCUGCCCCAACCAGCUCCCGCUCCGCCUGGCUGGGCGCGUGGGUCAGUUGAGCGGCUGGCCCCAUAACCAUGCCCCAGAGCUGCCCCCUGGGCUGCCCACUGAGCACUCAGGGGCUUGGGCUGGUUGCGUGGUGUCAUCAGCAGCUGGCCCUGGCCCCUCGCUUUCCCCCCUGUGGGCACGUCUCCGCCGUGGGCAGCGAGGAGGUCGGGGGUAGCAGAGCCGGGAGAAUGGGGAGGGGAGAGGGUGCCCCUGUGUGGGAAAGACCCAGCGCACAGAGAGCAUGACAAGGAAGGGGCCUGUCCGUGUGUCCCAGUGCACAGGAGGGCACUGUCUGAGGAAGAGGAGAGUGAGGAGGAGGAGGAGGAGGAAGAGCUCGCCCCCGUCAUGCCAGCCAAGAAGCAGCAAAGGAGGCAGUAGCUGAGAGGCGCUGCCCUGCCCCCGACUGGAGCCCUGCCCCCGGACGGCUGUUCUCCUGGGACCUCUCUGGUUUACGUGUCAAUUCGCUGUUUGUUGCUGUCGGGUUUUGGGGGGCUCCCUCCCAUUAAGGGGAUGCACUGGGGUGAGCCCUGCCCCCGCGCAGGGCCAUGGAGGGCUGAUACUGGGGAGAUGCAUGGGGCCCUGAGUGUGCUGGGGGUGCUCUGCUCUGGGCCCUGAGAUCCCCAGCGCCUGGAGGUGAGCCAGCAAAGCCAUUGGUGUCAGAUGCUCUGCCAACCCUGCGCCCCAGCUGCGUUGCUCAGUAGAGGGAGUUUCUGGGGCUCGUUCCCUAUUUCCGUACUCUGUGCGAACCAGCCCUUCGGUUGGUCCGUCUGGGCCCCUGCUCUGCUGCACCCUUGGAGAUGCCAGGCUGCUGUCUGCCAAGGGACAGGGAGAGACCAGCUAGAGCGCUGGGUUUCACAUGCUGAUUCUGGUCAGUUUCGCCGUUCUGGGGCGCUGGCCCUGCGGUGCUGAGUGGGGCCUGGUGCUGAGUGGGGCCUGGUGCUGAGUGGGGCGGUGGCAUCUCUCCCCCCAGCUUCUAUUCAUUGAGGGGGGAGGGUUAAGCCCUUUUUUAAAUAUUCGCUGCCUUUACACAUGGAAGUUUUAGAGAGAACCUCGUCACCAUCCCCCAAAACCCAGGGCUCCUUUCCCCAGUGCAAUAUCCCGGGUGAGCCGGGUGUGUACAUGGCACCUUUGACCUCGGCAUCCGAGAUCCGUCUCUGCUGCACCGUGCGUUACAGGGCCGGCUCUGGUGCUGGGGCCUCGUCCGGGUGUCACCGGGUCGUGCUGGGUCUGGGCUGCCUUUGAGUCCCCUCUUGCCCCCGCCGGGCAGUGGUUCGUUCCCCAGCCAAACCCCAUCUCUGUAAAGGGAUAUUUACACCUUGCAAUAAACGUUUCCGAUUGGGUGUCAA